rnacentral:rRNA from 1 species
AUCAACUUUCGAUGGUAGGAUAGAGGCCUACCAUGGUGGUAACGGGUAACGGGGUGUUAGGGCACGACACCGGAGAGGGAGCCUGAGAAACGGCUACCACAUCCAAGGAUGGCAGCAGGCGCGCAAAUUACCCAAUCCCGACACGGGGAGGUAGUGACAAUAAAUAACAAUACGGGGUUCUUUCGGAUCUCGUAAUUGGAAUGAGUACAAUUUAAAUCUCUUAACGGGGAACAAUUGGAGGGCAAGUCUGGUGCCAGCAGCCGCGGUAAUUCCAGCUCCAAUAGCGUAUAUUAAAGUUGUUGCAGUUAAAAAGCUCGUAGUUGAAUUUCGGGAUCAGAUUGUUGGUCGUGCCUCGGUACGUACUGGCAUUAUUGGUUCCUACCUUCUGAAGAACCGCGAUGUCAUUAAUUUGGUGUCGUGGGGAAUCAGGACUGUUACUUUGAAAAAAUUAGAGUGUUUAAAGCAGGCGCACGCUUGAAUACAUUAGCAUGGAAUAAUGAAAUAGGACGUUUGAUUCUAUUUUGCUGGUUUCUAGGAUCGACGUAAUGAUUAAUAGGGAUAGUUGGGGGCAUUAGUAUUCAAUUGUCAGAGGUGAAAUUCUUGGAUUUAUUGAAGACUAACUACUGCGAAAGCAUUUGCCAAGGAUGUUUUCAUUAAUCAAGAACGAAAGUUAGGGGAUCGAAGACGAUCAGAUACCGUCGUAGCCUUAACCAUAAACUAUGCCGACUAGGGAUCGGAUGAUGUUAAUUUUUUAAUGACUCAUUCGGCGCCUUACGGGAAACCAAAGUGUUUGGGUUC